GAUGAACGCUGGCGGCGUGCUUAACACAUGCAAGUCGAACGGUGAAGGCGGCGCUUGCUCUGCUGGAUCAGUGGCGAACGGGUGAGUAACACGUGAGCAAUCUGCCCCUGACUCUGGGAUAAGCGCUGGAAACGGCGUCUAAUACUGGAUACGAGCUGCGAAGGCAUCUUCAGCAGCUGGAAAGAAUUUCGGUCAGGGAUGAGCUCGCGGCCUAUCAGCUUGUUGGUGAGGUAAUGGCUCACCAAGGCGUCGACGGGUAGCCGGCCUGAGAGGGUGACCGGCCACACUGGGACUGAGACACGGCCCAGACUCCUACGGGAGGCAGCAGUGGGGAAUAUUGCACAAUGGGCGAAAGCCUGAUGCAGCAACGCCGCGUGAGGGACGACGGCCUUCGGGUUGUAAACCUCUUUUAGCAGGGAAGAAGCGAAAGUGACGGUACCUGCAGAAAAAGCGCCGGCUAACUACGUG
rnacentral:rRNA from 1 species